GUAGGUGGCAAGCGUUGUCCGGGAAUUAUUGGGGCGUAAAGCGCGCGCAGGCGGUUCUUUAAGUCUGAUGUGAAAGCCCACGGGCUCAACCGUGGAGGGUCAUUGGAAACUGGAGAACUUGAGUACAGAAGAGGAAGGCGGAAUUCCACGUGUAGCGGUGAAAUGCGUAGAGAUGUGGAGGAACACCAGUGGCGAAGGCGGCUUUCUGGUCUGUAACUGACGCUGAGGCGCGAAAGCGUGGGGAGCAAACAGGAUUAGAUACCCUGGUAGUCCACGCCGUAAACGAUGAGUGCUAAGUGUUAGGGGGUUUCCGCCCCUUAGUGCUGCAGCUAACGCAUUAAGCACUCCGCCUGGGGAGUACGGCCGCAAAGGCUGA
rnacentral:rRNA from 1 species